GGGCGGCGGGGGCGGCGGGGACCCUGCGCCCCGCCCCGGCCUUUCUCGGGGUCCUCCGGGAGGGGCUGAGGGGCGCCGCGAGCUCAGCCCGGGCGUGGGCGCGGCCUCGGCGUCCCCGCCUGCUCCUCGGCCCUGUUCGGGGCUGCUGAGUCACGGGGCUCGGGUGGGGGACUAGGCCCGCGGGGCCGAGCCCCGGGCCGGGAGUGCGCCUGUGAGUGCGCGCGUGACAGUGAGAUGGUGAGUGCGUCCGUGGUUGCGAGAUGGUGUGCGUCAGUGUGAUUGUGAGUGUGAGACGGUGAUUGUGGCAGACGGUGUGAGAGUGUGAGCGUCAGUGAGCGCGUGACAGUGAGAUGGUGAGUGCGUCCGUGGUUGUGUGAGGUGGUGUGUGUCAGUGUGAGUGAUUGUGAGACGGUGUGUGAGUGUGUGACAGAUGAUGUGUCUGGUUGUGUGAGACGGUGUGUGAGGGUGAGAGUGAGCAUCAGCGCGCGACAGAUGGUGAGUGCAUCCGUGGUUGUGUGAGGUGGUGUCAGUGAUUGUGUGAGAUGGUGUGUGUCAGUGUAUGGUGAGUGAGUGUGAGCAUCAGUGAGCGUGUGACAGUGAGAUCGUGAGUGCAUCAGUGGUUGUGUGUGAGGUGGUGUGUGUCGGUGUGAGUGAUUGUGAGACAGUGUGUGAGCGUGUGACAGUGAGAUGGUGUGUCUGGUUGUGAGUGUGAUGGUGUGUGUCAGUGUGAGUGAUUGUGAGACGGAAGGUGAGGGUGAGUGUGAGCAUGUGACAGUGAGAUGGUGAGUGCAUCUGUGGUUGUGAGUGCGAUGGUGUGUGUCAGUGUGAGUGAUUGUGAGACGGAAGGUGAGGGUGAGUGUGAGCAUGUGACAGUGAGAUGGUGAGUGCAUCUGUGGUUGUGAGUGCGAUGGUGUGUGUCAGUGUGAGUGAUUGUGAGACGGAAGGUGAGGGUGAGUGUGAGCAUGUGACAGUGAGAUGGUGUGAGUGUGAGACGGUGUGUGAGUGUGAACGUCAGUGCGUGACAGUGAGAUGCUGAGUGCGUCCGUGGUUGUGUGUGAGGUGGUGUGUGUCAGUGAUUGUGUGAGGGUGAGCGUCAGUGAGCGUGUCAGGGUCACAGUGCAGGAAGGUAGCUGUCCAUCGGGACAUGGGUGUGGCUGAGGGAGUGCAGUUGUGUCUGGGUGACCGUGGGAGGGAGUUGUGUGAGUGACGGUUGUGUGUGCAAGUGUGUGUGUGUGAGAAACCGUCCGUGUUUUGGGGCCUUACUGGCAGAUUGAGAUAACAAACAAGGGAACGCACAGACUGCAGGUGGCUGGCACCCGGGGGGGGCGUGUGAGGUGUGGCCCCCCACGUGUGGCCCCCGCGGGAUUUCUGGCCUGAGGUGGGUGCUGAGCCCGCGCCCAGGGAAGGAAGCUGUGCUGGCUGUCACAGCGUUUGCCGAGACAAACUGCCCGGGCACGCGUCGCACGCAGAGGGGUGCUGUGUCUCAGUCUAGCACCCCAGGGCACGGGAGGGCGGCGGCCAAAGACAGGAUGCCGUAACUAAAGCUGCAGCUCUGGGGCGUAUGAAAGUUGCUGGUUCUGUUUUUUACCUUUUCCCCAAAGUCACCCUGUUUUGAAAAACUCCAGAGCCUUUUCCACACAUGUGCUUGACUGCUUGGAAGGCCCGGUCUGAACAGACAUCGCGAAGGUCCGCGGAGACUCGUGGCUGCUCUUAGUGCCCGGAAGGCGGGAGAGGACAACGUGAGAUAAUUUUUCAAUCGCAGAGCGCCUCUCCUAGCCAGCCCCUCCUGACUGUGGUACACGCGUCACUGACACAGCUCACCUGCGGAGAGUGCCGGGAGCCUGAAGUGCUUCGCAGAGCUGCGCGCCCACUGCCGGCUCUGGGAACGGCGCAGAACCCGGCCCGCCCGCCGCCCGCCGCCCGCCGCCCAGAAGCGCCGCUUUCUGUCUUGCUGGUUUCCCGGCUGAGCUGCAGCCCGAUGAGGUCCCUCCUCCCGGCCCGCGUGUCCCCACGCCGGCCGCCUCCCCUCCGCUUCCUCAGCUUUUCUCAUGGGGACAUCCAGGUGUUAACAAAAGUGCAGAGUUGUGCACGGAGCCCCAGCUUCCACAAAGGGUCCUGGCCACGCUUACCGGCUGCGCACGCUCCGUCCUCCACCUCUCUCCGACCACCUUGUCGUUAUUUUGUAGUAAAUAACACAAAAUAUGUGAGGAAAACUCCCCAUUUUAGUGUAAUCCAGGUAGAACUCGAGGGUUAACAGUGCUUGUAUUCUCAUUUAAGAAAUCUUGGGGCAGCGCUGUGGCACGGGGUGGGGGGGUUAAGCAUCCCAUGUGAGCACUGACUGGAGCACAUGCUGCCGCUAAUGCAACUGGGAAAGCGGUGGGGGAGGCCCCAGUGCUCAGACCCCUGCACCCGCGAGGGAGACCCGGAUGGAGCUCCUGGCUCCUGGCUUCAGCCUGGCCCAGCCUUGGCAGCUGCAGCCAUUUGAGGCGUGAACCAGUGGACGGAAUCUCUCUCUCUCUCUCUUCCUCUCUGUGUAACUCUGCCUUUCAAAUAAAUAAAAUGAAUCUUUAAAAAUAUAUACACAAGCCAGCACCGCGGCUCACUAGGCUAAUCCUCUGCCUGCGGCGCCGGCACUCCAGGUUCUAGUCCCGGUCGGGGCGCCGGAUUCUGUCCCGGUUGCCCCUCUUCCAGGCCAGCUCUCUGCUGUGGCCCGGGAGUGCAGUGGAGGAUGGCCCAAGUGCUUGGACCCUGCACCCCAUGGGAGACCAGGAAAAGCACCUGGCUUCUGCCUUCGGAUCAGCGCGGUGCGCCGGCCGCGGCGGCCAUUGGAGGGUGAACCAACGGCAAAGGAAGACCUUUCUCUCUGUCUCUCUCUCUCACUGUCCACUCUGACUGUCAAAGAAAUAUGUAUAUAUACACACACAGAAAUCUUCAAGGACCUGGAUACCCCCCCCAACGAUGCGCCCGCCAGCCUUUGGUGACUGAGACUAAGCGCCCAGCACAGGACACCCAUGAGGAGGGAGUGGACUACAGUGUAUGGCUCUGGGGUCCACGUCCAGGGGCUGUGGAGCGUGCGCAGAGCAAGGGCCCAGGGGGAGCUGGGGAGCAGAGAGGCAGGGGGCACGCUUGUCAUCCGUGCCUGUGUGAUCUCUCCUUGUCCAGCCACGGGAGCUGGCCGUGGGGGUCCACCCCUACACUAACGCAGCCUGGUCACAUCUUAGAGCCCCGGCCGUCAGGCACCAUUCGUUAACAGGACUAAAUUUCUACCCUCAAUCUAUUAACCUUAACGCACAGCUGGUCUGCCCGCCACAGCAGGGAUGACCCUGGGAUUCGGUUUCACCUGUCACAGGUCAGUCUGCACCCGGCAGGAGCUGACUCCCGUGUGGUGUGGGGUGGAGGCCACGCUGCAUCCUCACGGCUGCCCGGGGACAGCCCCUGAGUUUCCCGCCUUCCUCGAAGUGCGACCUCCCCACCAAGAGCUGCAGGGCUCUGUUUGGCUCCACGGUGGCCUUGUGGGCUUCACCGUCCAGUUGGUUAGAUUCCCCCAGCAUCUGCGCUGGGCCCCUCUGGCCCUCUGUGCUGCCAUUGACCUUUAGAAUUUUCAGCUGGCUUCUCAGUUUCCACCAGAAAGAGGCGACCACGGAUUUCACUUGUGGCUGCCUCAAAUCUAUGCGAUGCUUUUGGAAGAAAUAACGCCCAUACGUGCUUCCUCGUGCGACGUCUGCUUCCUGAGGUCUCUGUAGAUGUCCUCAGGAGUCUGAUUUGCUACGCAGAGCACGGCACAUCUUUCAUUUAGUGUGUGGCUGGUGUGUGCUUCUUUAGCCGAUUGUUUGUGGCUAGAAUGUGGAAUACAGUUGAUUUUUCUGUACUGGUCUUCUGUCCGAUAUCCAACAACCUUGCGAGCUUCACUACUGUUCUCCAUAGUUUGUGAAUUAUUUUCGAGUUUCCACCGGACAAUCAGGUUCUCUGCGCCCGUGACAGCUUUGCUUCGUAGCUGCCGGUUUAAAUUCCUUUAAGUCCUGUUUCUCGUCGACUUGCACUGGCGAGGAUGCUGGUAUAGUGCGGGUAGGGAGGACGCGAGGACUCUGUCUCGUUCCUGAGCUCUGAGGGGAGGUUUUCAACGCCUCGUCUUUAAGUAAACUGUUCGCUGCACACCCUCUGAGUGCACGUGUUCUUACACUAGAUUCCUCGGCACGCCAGUGCGAGAACAGGUUUUGUAAAAGCACGAGUGGAUUUGGAAUUGGCCGUAAGUUUUCUCUCUACUCAAAUGCUCGUGCGAUGUUUCUUUCACACACAUUAUGUGAUAUUACAGGUUCUUCUUGACUUAUGACGACGAACUUGUAAAUGGAAAAUAUUAUAAAUUAAGAAUGCGCUUAAUAACCUGCCAAGUACACUGCUCAGUGUGCGCGUUCUGAAAUGCGCCUGAACUGGGCCGGAUCUUCUAACACAAAGCCUGCGUCACAACAGAGCCCAGUCGCUCAUCACUGAUUGAACACCUGUAUCCAAAGGCUACAGGCAACACAGCCCACUGUCUCCCCUCCGGCCAGGGGGCUGGCUCAGAGCUGCACCUGCUGCCCAGCACCAGAGAGACGCGGCCCAUGCAAUCACACACCCCAGGCACAGUUCCCACUGCACUGCAUCAAAAAGCAAACCCAUGGUGGGCCAGGGACCGCCUGCACUUGCUAACGUGAUGGAUCACAUCGAGUAGUGAUUAAACACUCACCCAGCCUCACACCCUGGGCAAACCCACUGCAGUUUGCUGUUGACGCUUUGCCCGCCCCGCGAUUUCUGGUUCCUCACAUUUUGUGUGGAUUUCGAUCUCACUUAAUGAGGGAUAUGUCCCUGGUGUUGUCCCUUUCUUCCCUCUCUCGUUAGACACGCUCCUCGGGAUUUCAUAGCCAGAUCAUGCUUGCUGCCAGGCGAGUUAGACAGCGCCUCUCCCUAUUUUCUGGAAGAAUAUUUUACGUGUUAUUUGAUCUUUACUCCUCAGUAAAGCCGCCUGGGCCUAUUUUUACUUAUUUUAGGGGCUUUGGGGAAACUUCUAUUUCUUUACUUAGUACAACAUUUAAAUUUUCUAAUUCUUCUAUAAUCACUUCUAAUACGCUGUGUCCUUCAAGGAAUUUGUCAAUUUCAUCUCUAUUUAAGAUUUAUUUUCACAGAACUAUUUGUGUCUUUUAAAAUAUUGAUAUUUAUUGAGAGACAGACCCUUCCUCUCCUGGUUCACUCUCCAGUGCCCACAAGGCUGGAACUGGAGCCGGGAACACAAGCCAGGUCGCCCACGUGGGCGGCAGGAACGCAGCUCUCCCAUCACGGGGCUCGCGGGGCUGGGGCGGGAGCUGAGAGCGGGCGUCCCACGUGGGCUGGGGCGCCUCGACCAGCUCUGCAGUGCUGGGCUGUGUCUGCCGCUCCUACCUGUGUCCUUCUCUCCUUUUGUUUAACUUAUUUGAGAGGUGGGGGUGGGGGGAGGGAGAGACAGAGAUUCAGAGGUUCGGAGAGCUCCCAUCCGCAGUUUUACUCCCCAGAUGCCCACGAUGGCUGGGCCUGGGCCAGGCUGAAGCCCGGGUUCUGGGUGAGUGGCAGGGACUCGAGCUCUGGGGCCAUCGCCUGCUGGCCCCGGGGUCUGCACUGGCAGGAAGCUGGGCUCCAGGACCAGAGCUGGGAAUUAAGCGCUAGCACUUACCUGUGGGACAAGGGCAGCGCCCGGAACCCCCCGGCUAGCUACGCUGCCCGGUUCUGGUCUCACUCACUACACUACCCGGUCUGGUCUACUCACUGAGGCACUAGCUACGCUGCCCAGUUCUGGUCUCACUCCCUGAGGCACUAGCUACGCUGUGUGGCUCUGGUCUCACUGAGGCACUAGCUACACUGCCCGGUUCUGGUCUCACUCCCUGAGGCACUAGCUACACUGCCCGGUUCUGGUCUCACUCGCUGAGGCACUAGCUACGCUGUG